rnacentral:tRNA from 1 species
GAGGGUAUAGCUCAGUGGUAGAGUGCCUGCUUAGCAUGCAUAAGGUCCUGGGUUCAAUCCCCAGUGCCUCCA